rnacentral:misc_RNA from 1 species
GUGGGAGUGAGCCUGCUCGCGAUGACGGAGUGUCAGUCAGUAUCAAUGCUCAAUGACACACUGCAAUCGCGAGCAGGCUCGCUCCCAC